rnacentral:misc_RNA from 1 species
GAUGAAGAACGCAGCAAAAUGCGAUACGUAAUGUGAAUUGCAGAAUUCAGUGAAUCAUCGAAUCUUUGAACGCAUAUUGCGCUCUCUGGUAUUCCGGAGAGCAUGCUUGUUUGAGUAUCAGUAAACACCUCAACUCCCUUUUCUUUUUUGAAAUUGGAGCUGGACUUGAGUGAUCCCAACGCUUUCUUCCAAGAAAGUGGCGGGUUGCUUGAAAUGCAGGUGCAGCUGAACUUUUCUCUGAGCUAUAAGCAUAUCUAUUUAGUCUGCCUAAAAAACAGAUUAUUACCUUUGCUGCAGCUAACAUAAAGGAGACUAGUUCUUGUGCUGACUGAUGCAGGAUUCACAGAGACAGCUUCGGCUGACUUUGUAAACUCGAUCUCAAAUCAAGUAAGACUACCCGCUGAACUUAAGCAUAUCAAUAAGCGGAGGA